AGUCAAGGGGGCCCGCAAGGGCAACCGGCGAACGGGUGCGUAACACGUGAGCAACCUGCCGAUCUGCGGGGGAUAGCCGGCCCAACGGCCGGGUAAUACCGCAUACGUUCUCGAGGGGGAGUCUUCUUGAGAGGAAACCUUUAUUGGGCGGAUCGAGGGGCUCGCGGCCUAUCAGCUAGUUGGCGGGGUAAUGGCCCACCAAGGCUCUGACGGGUAGCUGGUCUGAGAGGAUGGCCAGCCACAUUGGGACUGAGAAACGGCCCAGACUCCUACGGGAGGCAGCAGUGGGGAAUCUUGCGCAAUGGCCGAAAGGCUGACGCAGCGACGCCGCGUGUGGGAGGACGCCCUUCGGGGUGUAAACCACUGUUGCCCGGGACGAACAUCUGGUUUCGACCAGACUGACGGUACCGGGUGAGGAAGCACCGGCUAGCUCCGUGCCAGCAGCCGCGGUAAUACGGAGGGUGCGAGCGUUGUCCGGAAUCACUGGGCGUAAAGGGCGCGUAGGCGGCGCGGAUAGUCGGCGGUGAAAGCCCGGAGCUCAACUCCGGGUCGGCCGUCGAUACUUCCGGGCUUGAGCACUGUAGAGGCAGAUGGAAUUCCGGGUGUAGCGGUGGAAUGCGUAGAGAUCCGGAAGAACACCGGUGGCGAAGGCGGUCUGCUGGGCAGUUGCUGACGCUGAUGCGCGACAGCGUGGGGAGCAAACAGGAUUAGAUACCCUGGUAGUCCACGCCGUAAACGAUGGGCACUAGGUGCUUGGGGGAGCGACCCCCUGAGUGCCGGCGCUAACGCAUUAAGUGCCCCGCCUGGGGAGUACGGCCGCAAGGCUGAAACUCAAAGGAAUUGACGGGGGCCCGCACAAGCGGUGGAGCAUGUGGUUUAAUUCGACGCAACGCGAAGAAC
rnacentral:rRNA from 1 species